rnacentral:SRP_RNA from 1 species
UGGUCAGGCAUGCGCGAGAGUGACCGUAAAUCCGGUCAGGCCCGGAAGGGAGCAGCCGCAGCGGAUUUCUUCUGUGAUGCAUGUCUGAUCGCCU